UACGAAGGGGGCUAGCGUUGCUCGGAAUCACUGGGCGUAAAGCGCACGUAGGCGGAUUGCUAAGUCAGGGGUGAAAUCCCGGAGCUCAACUCCAGAACUGCCUUUGAUACUGGCGACCUUGAGUCCGGGAGAGGUGAGUGGAACUGCGAGUGUAGAGGUGAAAUUCGUAGAUAUUCGCAAGAACACCAGUGGCGAAGGCGGCUCACUGGCCCGGUACUGACGCUGAGGUGCGAAAGCGUGGGGAGCAAACAGG
rnacentral:rRNA from 1 species